UCCGGCUUAUCACCGGCGGUUCCUUUAAAGUACCCAACUGAAUGAUGGCAACUAAGGGCGAGGGUUGCGCUCGUUGCGGGACUUAACCCAACAUCUCACGACACGAGCUGACGACAGCCAUGCAGCACCUGUGUUCCAGUUCCCUUUCGGGCACAGCCGCCUUUCAGCAGCCUUCCGGACAUGUCAAGGGUAGGUAAGGUUUUUCGCGUUGCAUCGAAUUAAUCCACAUAAUCCACCGCUUGUGCGGGUCCCCGUCAAUUCCUUUGAGUUUUAACCUUGCGGCCGUACUCCCCAGGCGGUCAACUUCACGCGUUAGCUUCGUUACCAAGGAAUUGCUUCCCCGACAACCAGUUGACAUAGUUUAGGGCGUGGACUAC
rnacentral:misc_RNA from 1 species